GGGCUGUUCGUGGUUUUAACCCGGGGCAUCCCUGGGGUGUGCAAAAGAGCAUAUCUUUGACUUUUAAUUGGAGGCUGGUAAGAAUGGUUUGACGAGAAAUAAACUUUCUUUACUUUAUUUUAUUGAACUUAAUUUUUAAGUUAAAAAGCUUAAAUUUAUUUGUAGGACGAGAAGACCCUAUAGAGCUUUAUGAAUUUUUUUUUAUUUUAUUUUUGGUUUUUUAUAAUUUGAUAAAAAAUUUUUUAUUUCGUUGGGGUGACGUGUAAAAUUAUUUAACUUUUCAUUGAUUUAUUCAUUAAUUUAUGUUUAUUUGAUCCAAUAUUAUUGAUUAUAAGAUUAAGCUACCUUAGGGAUAACAGCGUAAUUUUUUUGGAGAGUUCUUAUCGAUAAAAGAGUUUGCGACCUCGAUGUUGGAUUAAAAUAAGUAUUAGGUGUAGCAGCUUAAUUACUAGGUC
rnacentral:rRNA from 1 species